AAUAAAGUUUUAUUCUUGCUUAAUUUUUAAUUAACUUAUAUAAUUUACAUGAAUAAGUUUUAAUUUCAGUAAUUAAUUUUAUUAAAUAUUAAAAUUUUUAUUUAUUAAUAUAAAAAAAAUUGAAUAAUAUUGUGCCAGCAUUCGCGGUUAUACAUUAAAUUUAAGUUAAAAUUAUAGGUUUAAAUAUUUUUUAUUGAUUAUUAAUUUAUUUAUUUAGGUGAAAUUUAUAUUUAAAUUUUGGUUCUUAUAAAAUUAUUUUAAAAUUAAAUUUUAAACUAGGAUUAGAUACCCUAUUAUUUUUUUUUUAAUAUUUCUUGAUUACUAUUAGUUAUGUUCUUAAAAAUUCAAAGAUUUUGGCGGUUAAUAAAUUCUUUUUAGAGGAACAUGUAUUUUAAUUGAUAAUCCACGAUAUUUAUUACCAAAAAUUUAUUUGUAUAUCUCUAUUGUUAGAAAUUUAUUUAAAUAACUUUCUCUUACUUUUAAAGUAAAAUUUUAGGUCAAGGUGCAGUUUUUUUUUGGUUUUUAUGUGUUACUAAAAUUUUAUAUUUUUUUUUAUUCUUAUUGAUUAUAUAUUAGGAUUUAAUAGUAAAUUUUUUUAAUUAUUAAAAUUGAAUUAAGUUCUAAUUAAUGUACAUAUCGCCCGUCGCUCCUUUAUAUAGGAUAAGUCGUAACAAAGUAGAUUUACUGGAAAGUAAAUCUAGAAUUUU
rnacentral:ncRNA from 1 species